rnacentral:rRNA from 1 species
UACAGAGGGGGCAAGCGUUGUUCGGAAUUACUGGGCGUAAAGGGCGCGUAGGCGGCCUUCUAAGUCGAACGUGAAAUCCCCGGGCUCAACCCGGGAACUGCGUCCGAUACUGGAAGGCUUGAAUCCGGGAGAGGGAUGCGGAAUUCCAGGUGUAGCGGUGAAAUGCGUAGAUAUCUGGAGGAACACCGGUGGCGAAGGCGGCAUCCUGGACCAUUACUGACGCUGAGGCGCGAAAGCUAGGGGAGCGAACGGG